GGACCUGCGGCUGGAUCACCUCCUUUAAAGAAAUGGGUCCUAGACCCCACACACGCCACUCGGUAAAGAAUCGGGCCUAUAGCUCAGCUGGCUAGAGCACACGACUGAUAAUCGUGAGGUCAGUGGUUCGAGUCCACUUGGGCCCACCAAAUGGGGCUGUAGCUCAGCUGGGAGAGCACCUGCUUUGCAAGCAGGGGGUCACCGGUUCGAUCCCGGUCAGCUCCACCAAAGGGAAGAGGCCCGCGCGCAGCGGGUCGGACGCUGGGGUGGAGAAGUAGGCGGCAGGAAGCGGGUAACAGGUAACAGGAAGUAGAGAGUAGGAAAGUAAUUAAAGAGUCCGUAGUAGUGAGUUUCUGAAUAAAGAAGCUGAGUACUACCGAUUCGCAGUAUGGAAGCGGUAUUGUUCUUUGACAGUUGAGGAAGGGAAGGCCAUGUUUGUCAUCUUGCCGAUGGCAGACCUCCAAGUGGAUGCUUGGGGAUAUAUGGUCAAGUGAAUAAGGGCAUACGGUGGAUGCCUUGG
rnacentral:misc_RNA from 1 species